rnacentral:rRNA from 1 species
CCUACGGGAGGCUGCAGUGGGGAAUAUUGGACAAUGGGGGCAACCCUGAUCCAGCCAUGCCGCGUGUGUGAAGAAGGCCCUCGGGUUGUAAAGCACUUUCAGUGAGGAAGAACGCCUGGUGGUUAAUACCCAUCAGGAAAGACAUCACUCACAGAAGAAGCACCGGCUAACUCCGUGCCAGCAGCCGCGGUAAUACGGAGGGUGCGAGCGUUAAUCGGAAUUACUGGGCGUAAAGCGCGCGUAGGUGGCUUGAUAAGCCGGUUGUGAAAGCCCCGGGCUCAACCUGGGAACGGCAUCCGGAACUGUCAAGCUAGAGUGCAGGAGAGGAAGGUAGAAUUCCCGGUGUAGCGGUGAAAUGCGUAGAGAUCGGGAGGAAUACCAGUGGCGAAGGCGGCCUUCUGGACUGACACUGACACUGAGGUGCGAAAGCGUGGGUAGCAAACAGGAUUAGAUACUCUAGUAGUC